UACGAAGGGGGCUAGCGUUGUUCGGAUUUACUGGGCGUAAAGCGCACGUAGGCGGAUUGUUAAGUCAGGGGUGAAAUCCUGGAGCUCAACUCCAGAACUGCCUUUGAUACUGGCAAUCUUGAGUCCGGAAGAGGUGAGUGGAACUCCUAGUGUAGAGGUGGAAUCCGUAGAUAUUAGGAAGAACACCAGUGGCGAAGGGCGGCUCACUGGUCCGGUACUGACGCUGAGGUGCGAAAGCGUGGGGAGCAA
rnacentral:rRNA from 1 species